rnacentral:lncRNA from 1 species
AUGCAGAUAUAUACUCAAAAUAUGCAUGCAAUAGGUCGUCUCGAGGCUGGAAGAAAGACCGAUUUGGAUUAUCAUACCAAGACAAGUGCUGGUGAUAUCAAUGAAAGCAAGUUCAGUGUGAAGUUUUGUGUCCCAAAGAAAUGUGGUUCACCUGAUUCACCACAUGGAGUAGACUGCUACUGCUGCCUCAACAAGCCCGAUGCCCCGUGUUUCGCCACAAGUGAUGAGUGCCAGAAAAAGUGUCCUCCUUGCAAUCCCAUCUGCGCUCUUUCGGAUGCGGACCGAGUGCAAGCUUGUUUAAAUACAGAUCUGUAUUGCAAAAAUAAGUACUGAUAUGUUCUACUCCUUCAGUCCCAAAAUUCUUGUCUUAGAUUUAUUCAAAUAAAGAUGUAUCAAGUCACGUUUUACUAUUAGAUACUCCAUCCGUUCGGAAUUACUUGUCUCGGAAAUGAAUGUAUCUAGAACUAAAAUAUGUCUAGAUACAUCCAUUUCUGCGACAAGUAAUUCCGAGCGGAUGGAGUACAUUCGUAUCUAGACAAAUUUAGGAAAAGAAUUUUGGGACAGAGGGAGUAUUUCUUUUCUUUUUUGCAAGAAGAUGUGUUCUAUUUUUCUUAUAAGGCAUAAUUGGUUUUUGUUUGACUCAAGCAACAAUUUCUUUUUCUUUACCAAAAUGAUCUUAGAUUGUCAUAUUUUCUUGGAUGGUUCUACCCAUGCAUGAUCUUAGUUAUCAUAUCUUUGCAAAAAAGAUUUUUUACGGUACAUCAUACUAUCAAAUUUAAGGUGCAGUAUUUUUUUUGUACAUCAGUACAGACACAAGCGCUCAUAUACACGCGCAUACACUCACCCCUAUGAACGCACACAUGCACACCCUACCCCUAUGAGCACCUUUAAAAGACUGAGCCGGCAUAUCAUCUUGAGAUUUACGAAGUCACGUAGGCGCCUCGUCGUCGACGGAAACGUCUCCUCCCACUGAAUGCGCAUCGCCGAAAAUCCUGAAAUAAAUCCAGGAAUAAAUGCGAGCACCAGGAUUUGAACCAUAGUGGGCUGGGGAUACCGUCCCUCUGACCAUCCAACCACAGAUUGGUUCGCAGGUGUAGUAUUAAGAUGAUACAACGAAGACUGAUAUUGUUCAGCUCAAAGAUUGGUUUGAGGUUUUUCUUUAUUUAAGGAGGUUUUAUAGCUUGGCAAUUUGCUAAAUGUUUCGUCUCUCUGUAGACUCUAGCCGGCACACGAUCUGUUUAGAGCCUCCGGUCAAACGAGCAGGGAAACAGAAUACACCCCAGGCAUUUUUUCGGCACCGGCGCCUGAAAAUCGGCCCAGUCGCGUCCCCAGGAGCCCGUUUUUUGCCGGUUUUGAUCGAAACUGGCGCCGGCGGACCCAGGCCGAACCCGGUGUGCUGGGGGGCGUCUGGGGGCGCUGGGGGGUGCGUUUUUGGCGUGAAAGGGGAUGGGCCUGCCGAGUCAUCAAGAUGCAGCCGCUGGUCAGCCACCAUUGAUGCCUCACGGGCGGCGCAGUGAAGGCGCCACCGACGCGCGUACCGCCUGCUCCCGCCAUGCGUCGCCUGGCAUGUAGGCUCUCGCCGCCCCGCUGCGGCUAUAAAAGCCGGCCUCCCGCCUGGUAGCCACACAUCGCCUCGCAUCGCCACACAAAGCAACACACUCUCCCUUCAUGCCAUCUCCAAGAGCCGGAGGCGCGCCUCCUCUACUAGGCCGAAUAUCCGCUGCCCCCGGACAUGUGUGUGCCGGGGUCGUGGAAAUUGAGCGCCGGCGGCGUCCCAGUGCCACCGGUUCCCAAAGGGGUUGCACGGAGGUCCGAGAUCGCCUGCAUCCGCUCGUCGCUGACGGAGGCACAGCGGAACGAGCCGAGAUACGCUGCCGACAGCCACACGCUGUGGACGAUGUUCUUCGAGCGCCGCCGCGAAGAGCAGAUCGCCUCCGCCAACAGCAUCAUCCCCCGCGGACGCCACAACGCCGACGGGCGGCGCGAGUGGUGGGGCAUGCCCGGCCGCACCCUCGAGGCCGUCCUCGACCACAUCGAGACUGGUAACACGCCGCGCCUCGACCCUCGAGUACCCGCCGCGACUGUCCUUCUCUCGCCGUCGUGGCAGCUCCUGGACGCCGCGGUGAAUGGAGUCGGGAGCGUCCUCCUUGUCGGGCUCCGGCUCACUCUCCUCGGGCUCGCCGGCGCUCCGCCCCGUCAAGCCGGAAGAGACGCCGCACCGACGCCACACCCGCAUCGGCACCCUCGUCAUUAAUGAGGGCGCCAGCCCCUCCCCGCGCUCCCUCUGCCUGGUCCGACCAAAGCCCGAGCCGGGGUUGCUCCCCGUGAAGCUGGAGCACGCGACCAUGGUGGCCCCCGACGAAGAGGCCGUCCUCAAGUGGGCGGGGGAGUACUACGUCCGUGAGGAGGUGCUCUGCCAGCGCCGGGCGUACAAGGAGCUCCAGGCCCGGCGCCGCGGACGCGAGGAGGAUGGCGUUAGUGCCGGACGCAAGGAGGGUGGCGUCAUCGUCCUCGACAGCGACGAGGAGAAUGAGGCCGGCCCAUCCAACCCACCACCGCGCGUCGGCUACCCUGGCCAGGGGUGCAGUAGGGACGGAGGCGGCUCCGGCGGGGCGCGCGACGACGACGACAACUACACCCGUUUCUACACGCUUCUCGGCAUGUAGAUGGCGAGCGGUGGCCGCGGCAUAGCAGGGAUAGGCGUAGUUUGGCAUAGUUGUAGGUGUAGUUUGCAUGUUAAUCUGUUUUUUACAAAUUUCGAUAAAGUAUCGCCGAGUUUGUGCCAGAUCGCCAAGUUUUGUAGAAAUUUGGAUGAAAUAUCGCCGAAUACACGCGACUUUGGCGGCGAUCUGGGGACAUCGACUGGGACCGCAGUCGCCCCCACGCGCCAAGCCAACGCCGGUUCAGCCCCGGACGGCUCUUUUUCGGCGUCCUGGGGACCGAACGGCUGGAGAUGCUCUAAGACAAGUGCAGACCCGCCCAUCCUGUUGAACCGCCGCCGAAGGUCGAUGAAGCGGACGACAACAUUGGCCGCUGCUCGCCAUCUCCAUCAACACCAACAAAUAAGAUAUUUGGAAUUCCGGAGCUUGUUAUGCAAAACUGUAAUUCGGGAGCAGCGGGCCCAAAAUGAAAGCGGGGCAAGGCACCACUGGUCUUGCCCAAAUGUGGCGCCCCAAAAGCGACCAGCUGCGAACCAAACUGUGGUUGAAUGGUUAGAGGGACCGUGGUAUUCCCAACCCAUCAGGGUUCAAGUCCUGGUGCUCGCAUUUAUUCCUGUAUUUAUUUCAGGAUUUCCGGCUAUGUGCAUUUAGUGGGAGGAGACAAGGUGCCUACGGCGACUUCGUAAAUUUUAAGAUGAUAUGCCGGCUCAGUCUUUCGAAGGUGCUCAUAGGGAUAAGGUGUGCAUGUGUGCGUUCAUAGGGGUGAGUGUGUGCGCGUGUAUAUGAGCGUUUGCGUCUUUACUUUGUUAAAAAAAAAGCGACCAGCUAUGCAUGUACCCUCUGGCCAACAUGCAUUUCACACCUGUUCCUAGAAUCAUGGAAUGAAUUACUCACAAUAUGAUCUAAAUUGAACGUACGUAGAAAAGAAAUCUUGAUAAAUUUUACAAGCUUAGCAAAAGUAGGCAAUGCUGAUGAAUUGUUAGCCAUCAGCGCUCAAAUCCCGACACCGCACUAGGACUUUAUACUCUGUUUGGAUCAUCAUGGGUUUUAAGAUAAAAUGACCGCACUCACCUUUUGGUCAAGAACUAAUCGUGCUUAUGCUACAAAAGCAACAUCCAUAUCAAUGGCUCUAUGCAUACCUUGCCGGAACCGUGCUAGACGGCUAAUUUGACUUAGGGAAGACUCACUUGGCAGAGCACGGCAAUAUGACCCGAAUUGUCACGCGUGCCAAAGCUGAUGGGGUCAAACUAGAGCUAGAAUCAAAGACGGUCCAGUGUUUUACUUAGAGCAUCAACAGCCAGGCACCCCAAACCCGCCUCAAACACCCGGGCAGGCCGCCCGGGUGUGCGUCGGUCACGAAAUUUUGACCCAGAUUGACGCCUCAAAUGGGCCACGAACGCUUAGAUUGACCGGCACCCCUCACAUCCAGUCUAAAUAUAGGGCGGAUAUGGAAGCGCCCGAGUGCGUCUGCCGCAUCAGACCCGGCCCACGCUGGCCCACCUGAUCCCACAUAUAUUCAUUCCCAUUCGCUCGCCGGACCAACAGUAGCUACUUCCCUCCACUCCCCUCCGCCACUCAAGCUCCCGUCCGACGGUCUCCAUCCGUCUCCGGCAUGGCGGGCAGCAGAUCUGAGUCCUUCACCUUAGCUCAUCCCACGCAGCUCCGAGGAGGAGACGGCCGUCCGGCUUUCGCUUCGUCGCUCCCGGGAGGAGGCCCGUGCACGACAGCGCUCGGACUCCUUUCGUCGGGAAUCCAUUACGUCCGCCCAAAUGGCGUAUGUAUCCGACGCGAGGUGUGCCAUCACUGCAUCGUCGGAAGCGAUGCGGUCCGUCUGGCGUCUGCUACAUCUUGAGCAUGCGUUGGGUUUUCCCUUGAGGAGGAAAGGGUGAUGCAGCAAAGUAGCGUGAGUAUUUCCCUCAGUUUUGAUAACCAAGGUAUCAAUCCAGUAAGAGGCUCCUCCCAAGUCCCACGCGACUACACAAACAAACAAGAACCUCGCAACCAACGCGAUAAAGGGGUUAUCAAUCCCUUCACGGCCACUUGCGAAAGUGAGAUCUGAUAGAGAUAAUAUGAUAAGAUAAAUAUUUUUGAUAUUUUUAUGAUAUAGAUUGAAAAGUAAAGAUUGCAAAAUAAAGUAGAUUGGAAAGUUAUAUGAUAGAGAAUAGACCCGGGGGCCAUAGGUUUCACUAGUGGCUUCUCUCAAGAUAGCAUAAUUAUUAGGUGAGUGAACAAAUUAUUGUCGAGCAAUUGAUAGAAAAGUGCAUAGUUAUGAGAAUAUCUAGGCAUGAUCAUGUAUGUAGGCAUCACGUCCGCAACAAGUAGACCGACUCCUGCCUGCAUCUACUACUAUUACUCCACACAUUGAGCAACUCCUGCCUGCAUCUAGAGUAUUAAGUUCAUGAAGAACAGAGUAACGCAUUAAGCAAGAUGACAUGAUAUAGAGGGAUAAACUUAAGCAAUAUGAUAUAAACCCCAUCUUUUUAUCCUCGAUGGCAACAAUACAAUACAUGCCUUGCUGCCCCUGCUGUUAUUGGGAAAGGGCGCCGCAAGAUUGAACCCAAAGCUAAGCACUUCUCCCAUUGCAAGAAAGAUCAAUCUAGUAGGCCAAACCAAACUGAUAAUUCGAAGAGACUUGCAAAGAUAACCAAUCAUACAUAAAAGAAUUCAGAGGAGAUUCAAAUAUUUCUCAUAGAUAAACUUGAUCAUAAACCCACAAUUCAUCGGAUCUCGACAAACACACCGCAAAAAGAGUUACAUCGAAUAGAUCUACAAGAAGAGGAAGGAGAACUUUGUAUUGAGAAUCAAAGAGAGAGAAGAAGUCAUCUAGCUAAUAACUAUGGACCCGAAGGUCUAUGGUAAACUACUCACAACUCAUAGGAGAGGCCCUCCGUGGUCGAUUCCCCCUCCGACGGAGUGCCGGCGAAGGCUCCAAGAUGGGAUCUCGUAGAUACAGAAGGUUGCGGCGGUGGAAAUAGUUUUUCGUGCUGCUCCUGGAUGGUUUCGGGGUACGAAGAUAUAUAUAGGCGAAGGAGGUAGGUCGGUUGAGCCACGAGGGGCCCACGAGGGUGGGGGACGCGCCCACCCCCUUAGGGCGUGUCGGGCACCCUCGUGGCCGCCUCGUUUGUUGCUUGACGUCCACUCCAAGUCCCCUGAAUUGCGUUUGUUUCAAAAAGAUCGCUCCCAAAGGUAUCAUUCCGUUUGGACUCCGUUUGAUAUUCCUUUUCUGCGAAACACUGAAAUAGGCAAAAAAUAGCAAUUCGGGCUGGGCCUCCGGUUAGUAAGUUAGUCACAAAAAUGAUAUGAAAGUGUAAAGUAAAGCCCAUAAACAUCCAAAACAGGUAAUAUAAUAGCAUGAAACAAUCAAAAAUUAUAGAUACGUUGGAGACGUAUCAAGCAUCCCCAAGCUUAAUUCCUAUUUGUCCUCGAGUAGGUCAAUGAUAAAAACAGAAUUUUUGAUGUGGAAUGCUACCUAGCAUAUUUCUCAAUGUAUUUUUCUUUAUUGUGGCAUGAAUGUUCAGAUCCAAAUGAUUCAAAAUAAAAGUUCAUAUUGAUAAAAUAAUAAUGAUACUUCAAGCAUACUAACUAAGCAAUCAUGUCUUCUGAAAAUAACAUGGCAAAGAAAAGUUCAUCCCUACAUAAUCAUAUAGUUUGGUCAUGCUCCAUUUUCAUUACACAAGAAUGCUCUCAUCAUGCACAACCCCGAUGACAAGCCAAGCAAUUGUUUCAUACUUUGGUAAUCUCAAACUUUUUUCAACCUUCACGCAAUACAUGAGCGUGAGCCAUGGAUAUAGCACUAUGGGUGGAAUAGAAUAUAAUGAUAGUGGUUAUGUGGAGAAGACAAAAAAGGAGAAAGUCUCACAUCGACACGGCUAAUCAACGGGCUAGGGAGAUGCCCAUCAAUUGAUGUCAAUGCAAGGAGUAGGGAUUGCCAUGCAACGAAUGCACUAGAGCUAUAAAUGUAUGAAAGCUCAACAAAAGAAACUAAGUGGGUGUGGAUCCAACUUGCUUGCUCAUGAAGACCUAGGGCAUUUUGAGGAAGCCCAUCGUUGGAAUAUACAAGCCAAGUUCUCUAAUGAAAGAAUCCCACUUAGUAAAUAAAAGUGACAACAUAGAAGACUUUCUAUCAUAAAGACCAUGGUGCUAUUUUGAGCACAAGUGUGGAAAAAGAUAGUAGCAUUGUCCCCCUUUUUUUGGGCCUUUCUUUUUUUGGCCUUUUUUUGCCUUUCUUUUUUUUGGCCUUUCCUUUUUCUUUUUUUUAUUAGGGACAACGCUCUAAACAUGAUGAUCAUCACACUUCUAUUUACUUACAACUCGAUACUAGAACAAAAUAUGACUCUAUAUGAAUGCCUCCGACGGUGUACCGGGUGAUGCGAUGACUCAAGAGUGACAUGUAUAAAAAAAUUAUGCAUGGUGGCUUUGCCACAAAUACGAUGUCAACUACAUGAUCAUGCAAAUAGCAAUAUAACAAUGAUGAAGCGUGUCAUAAUAAACGGAACGUUGGAAAGUUGCAUGGCAAUAUAUCUCGGAGUGGUUAUGGAAAUGCCAUAAUAGGUAGGUAUGGUGGCUGUUUUGAGGAAGAUAUAAGGAGGUUUAUGUGUGAUAGAGCGUAUCAUAUCACGGGGUUUGGAUGCACCGGCGAAGUUUGCACCAACUCGCAAGGUGAGAAAGGGCAAUGCACGGUACCGUAGAGGCUAGCAAUGAUGGUAAGGUAAAAGUGCGUAUAAUCCAUGGACUCCAAUGCACGGUACCGUAGAGACUAGCUCGUUGAUCAACAGAUGGUCAUGGUUUCCUGACUAUGGACAUUGGAUGUCAUUGAUAACGAGAUCACAUCAUUACGAGAAUGAUGUGAUGGACAAGACCCAAUCCUAAGCAUAGCACAAGAUGUGUAGUUCGUUUUCUAAAGCUUUUCUAAUGUCAAGUAUCAGUUCCUUAGACCAUGAGAUUGUGUAACUCCCGGAUACCGUAGGAGUGCUUUGGGUGUACCAAACUUCACAACGUAACUGGGUGACUAUAAAGGUGCACUACAGGUAUCUCCAAAAGUAUCUAUUGGGUUGGCACGAAUCAAGACUGGGAUUUGUCACUCCGUAUGACGGAGAGGUAUCUCUGGGCCCACUCGGUAAUGCAUCAUCAUAAUGAGCUCAAUAUGACUAAGUGGUUAGUCACGGGAUCAUGCAUUAUGUAACGAGUAAAGUGACUUGUCGGUAACGAGAUUGAACGAGGUAUUGGGAUACCGACGAUCGAAUCCCGGGCAAGUAACGUACCGAUUGAUAAAGGGAAUUGUAUACGGGAUUACCUGAAUCCUCGACAUCGUGGUUCAUCCGAUGAGAUCAUCGUGGAACACGUGGGAGCCAACAUGGGUAUCCAGAUCCCGCUGUUGGUUAUUGGCCAGAGAGCUGUCUCGGUCAUGUCUACGUGAUUCCCGAACCCGUAGGGUCUACACACUUAAGGUUCGAUGACGCUAGGGUUAUUAGGAAGACUUUUAUGUGAUUACCGAAUGUUGUUUGGAGUCCCGGAUGAGAUCCCGGACGUCACGAGGAGUUCUGGAAUGGUCCAGAGGUGAAGAUCUAUAAAUGGGAAGUUGUCAUACGGUCACCAGAAAAGUUCGGGGGCAUACCGGUAUUGUACCGGGGCCACCGGAAGGGUUCCGGGGGUCCACCGGGAGGGGCCACCUCUCUCGGAGGGCCUCAUGGGCCAUAGUGCGAAGGGAACCAGCCCUUGGAGGGCUGGGCGCAUCCCCCCCUUGGGCCCAUGCGCCUAGGGUUGGGGGGGAAACCCUAAAGGGGGCGCCCCCCUUGCUUGGGGGGCAAGUUCCCCCCUUUCCCCCCCUCUAGAUCUCAUCUAGAGGGGGACGGCCCCCUUCCCCCUCCUCCUAUAAAUAGAGGGGCGAGGGGAGGGCUGCAGUACCACACGUAAGGUGCAUCCCCUCCCCUCCCCAACACCUCUCCUCCUCCGUAAGAGCUUGGUGAAGCCCUGCCGGAGUACUACCUCUCCAUCACCACCACGCCGUCGUGCUACUGUUGGAGCCUCUUCCUCAACCUCUCCCUCCUCCUUGCUGGAUCAAGGCGCGGGAGACGUCACCGGGCUGCACGUAUGUUGAACGUGGAGGUGCCGUUGUUCGGCGCUAAGAUCGGAGUCCACCGCGAUCUGAAUCGCUUCGAGUACGACUCCCUCAUCCACGUUCUUGUAACGCUUCCGUCUUGCGGUCUUCAAGGGUAUGAAGAUGAACUCCUCUCUCUCUCUCUCUCUCUCUCUCUCUCUCUCUCUCUCGUUGCUAGUUGCUCCAUAGAUUGAUCUUGGUGAUGCGUAGAAAAAAUUUAUUUUCUGCAACGAUCUUCAACAGCUCGUCCCCGGCCGCCACUCAUAAGGUUGACAAUCAAAUAACACCUCAUGCUUCAAAUUUGUCACACAACGGUUACCAUACGUGCAUGCUACGGGACUUGCAAACCUCAACACAAGUAUUUCUUAAAUUCACAAUUACAUCAACUAGCAUGACUCUAAUAUUACCACCUUCAUAUCUCAAAACAAUUAUUAAGCAUCAACUAGCAUGACUGUAAUAUUCACUUCUUAUGAUAGUUUUGAUUAGACCCAACUUAGAUGCCCACCAUUCUAGGACCAAUUUUAUAACCAUAGCAAACACCAUGCUGUUCUAAAAUACUCUCAAAAUAAUAUAAGUGAAGCAUGAGAGAUCAAUAAUUUCUACAAAAUAAAAUCACCACCGUGCUCUAAAAAGAUGUAAGUGAAGCACUAGAGCAAAACUGCAUAGCUCAAAAGAUAUAAGUGAAGCACAUAGAGUAUUCUAAUAAAUUCCGAAUCAUGUGUGUCUCUCCCAAAAGGUGUGUACAGCAAGGAUGAUUGUGGUAAACUAAAAAGAAAAGACUCAUAUCAUACAAGACGCUCCAAGCAAAACACAUAUCAUGUGGUAAAUCAAAAUAUAGAUCCAAGUAAAGUUACCGACAGACGAAGACGAAAGAGGGGAUGCCUUCCGGGGCAUCCCCAAGCUUAGGCUUUUGAUUGUCCUUAAAUAUAUUGGGGUGCCAUGGGCAUCCCCAAUCUUAGGCUUUUUCCACUCCUUAUUCCAUAGUCCAUCAAAUCUUUACCCAAAACUUGAAAACUUCACAACACAAAACUCAACAGAAAAUCUCAUGAGAUCCGUUAGUGCAAGAAAGAAAAACCACCACUUAAGGUACUGUAAUGAACUCUUUCUUUAUUUAUAUUGGUGUUAAACCUACUGUAUUCCAACUUCUCUAUGAUUCAUACCCCCCGAUACUGGCCAUAGAUUCAUCAAAAUAAGCAAACAACACACGAAAAACAGAAUCUGUCAAAAACAGAACAGUCUGUAGCAAUCUGUAACUUUCGGAUACUUCUGGACCCUAAAAAUCCUACCAAAUAGGAAGUCCUAGGUAAUUUAUCUAUUGAUCUACUGCAAAAAUAAUCAACUCAAAAUCACGUUUCUGUCAUUUAUUGAUUUUUUUCUCGUGAGCGCAAAGUUUCUGUUUUUCAGAAGAAUCAAAUUAACUUUCACCCAAGAUGAUCCUAUAAGUUCUACUUGGCACAAACAUUAAUUAAAACAUAAAACCACAUCUAAUCAGAGGCUAGAUGAAUUGUUUAUUACUAAAGAGGAACAAAAAGCAAGCAACAAAAAUAAAAUUGGGUUGCCUCCCAACAAGCGCUAUCGUUUAACGCCCCUAGCUAGGCAUAAAAGCGAGAAUAGAUCUAAGUAUUGCCAUCUUUGGCAUUCAAUUCAUAAGUGGCUCGCAUGAUAGAUUCAUAAGGUAAUUUAAUUUUCUUUCUAGGAAAGUGUUCCAUGCCUUUACUUAACGGAAAUUGGAAUCUAAUAUUUCAUUCCUUCAUAUCAAUAAUUGCACCAAUCGUUCUAAGGAAAGGUCUACCAAGAAUAAUAGGAUAUGAAAGAUUGCAAUCUAUAUCAAGAAUGAUAAAAUCUACGAGAACAUAAUUCCUAUUUGCAACAAUAAGAACAUCAUUAAUCCUUCCCAUAGGUUUCUUAAUUGUGAAAUCCGCAAGGUGCAAGUUUAAAGAGCAAUCAUCAAAUUCACGGAAACCAAGCAUAUCACAUAAAGUUUUUGGAAUCAUGGAAACACUAGCACCCAAAUCACACAAAGCAUAUCAUUCAUGAUCUUUUAUUUUAAUUUUUAUUGUAGGUUCCCGCUCAUCAUAAUAUUUUCUAGGGAUAGAAACUUCUAAUUCAAGUUUUUCUUCAUAAGAUUGCAUCAAAGCAUCAACGAUGUGUUUAGUAAAAGCUUUAUUUUGGCUAUAAGCAUGAGGAGAAUUCAACACGAAUUGCAACAAGGAAAUACAUCUAUUAAAGAACAAUUAUCAUAAUUAAAUUCCUUGAAAUCCAAAGUAGUGGUUUCAUUACUAUGUAAAGUUUUAAUCUCUCCAAUCCCACUUUUACCAAUUUUAGCAUCAAGAUCAAAAUACUCCAAAUCAUUGGAAUGCCUUUUAACUAGGUUGACUCAUCUCCAGUCCCAUUAUUAUUAAGAUUCAUAUUCCAAAACAGGGAUUUAAUAGGAGAAACAUCAAUAACUUUUAGAUAUUCAUCGUUAUUAUCAUGAAAACUAGAAGAACACGCUCUUACAAAGGAAUUUUUCUUAGCACGCAUCCUAGCGGUUCUUUCUUUGCACUCAUCAAUGGAAAUUCUCAUGGCUUUGAGAGGCUCAUUGAUAUCAUGCUUAGGUGGAAUAGAUCUAAGUUUCAAAGAAUCAACAUCAAGAGAAAUUCUAUCCACGUUCCUAGCCAAUUCAUCAACUUUGAGUAAUUUUUCUUCAAGCAAAGUAUUGAAAUUCUUUUGAGAAUUCAUAAAUUCUUUAACACUAAUCUCAAAUCAGAGGGCAUCUUAUUAAAAUUUCCACAAGAGUUGUUGUAGGAAAUACCAUAAUUAUUAGAGGAAUUACGAGGAAACGGCCUAGGAUUAAAGUUUACUCUAUAAGAGUUGUUACCAAAAUUAUUCCUACCAAAAAAAUUCACAUCCAUAGGUUCAUUAUUAUUCUCAAUCAAAGUAGACAAAGGCAUAUCAUUAGGAUCAAUAGUGGCGUUUUUAGUAGCAAACAAUUUCAUCAGUUCAUCCAUCUUUCCACUCAAAACAUUAAUUUCUUCUAUAGCAUGAACCUUUUUACUAGUAGAUCUUUCGGUGUGCCAUUGAGAAUAAUUAACCAUAAUAUUAUCUAGUAGUUUAGUAGCUUCUCCUAAAUUGAUUUUCAUAAAAGUGCCUCCCGUGGCCGAAUCUAAAAGAUUUCUAGAAGCAAAAUUCAAACCGGCAUAAAAAUUUUGUAUGAUCAUCCAUAAAUUCAAACCAUGUGUAGGGCAAUUACGUAUCAUUAAUUUCAUCCUCUCCCAAGAUUGUGAAACAUGCUCAAGAUCAAGUUGCUUAAAAUUCAUAAUAUCGUUUCUAGGAGAGAUGAUCUUAGCGGGAGGAAAAUACUUAGAGAUAAAAACAUCUUUGCACUUAUUCCACGAAUCAAUACUAUUUUUAGGCAAAGACGAAAACCAAGUUUUAGCAUGAUCUCUAAGUGAAAACGAAGAUAACUUCAAUUUAACAAUAUCAUUAUCCAUGUCUUUUUUCUUCUGCAUAUCGCACAAAUCAACGAAGUUGUUUAGAUGAGUAGCGACAUCUUCACUAGAAAGGACGGAGAAUUGAUCUUUCAUAACAAGAUUCAACAAAGCAGCGUUGAUUUCACAAGAUUCAACAUCAUUAAGAGGGGCAAUCGGAGUGCUAAGGAAAUCAUUAUUAUUGCUUUUAGAAAAGUCACACAAUUUAGUAUUAUCUUGAGCUAUUGUGACAAGCAAUCCAACACACAAGCACACAAGAGGCAAGCAAAAAAGAGGCAAAUGGAAAANNNNNNNNNNNNNNNNNNNNNNNNNNNNNNNNNNNNNNNNNNNNNNNNNNNNNNNNNNNNNNNNNNNNNNNNNNNNNNNNNNNNNNNNNNNNNNNNNNNNNNNNNNNNNNNNNNNNNNNNNNNNNNNNNNNNNNNNNNNNNNNNNNNNNNNNNNNNNNNNNNNNNNNNNNNNNNNNNNNNNNNNNNNNNNNNNNNNNNNNNNNNNNNNNNNNNNNNNNNNNNNNNNNNNNNNNNNNNNNNNNNNNNNNNNNNNAAAUAAUGUAAUGCGAGGAAGAUGAGUUUGUGAUGGGUACUUGGUAUGUCUUGACUUGAGCGAAGACCUCCCCGGCAACAGCGCCAGAAAUCCUUCUUGCUACCUCUUGAGCAGGCGUUGGUUUUUCCCUUGAAUAGGAAAGGGUGAUGCAGCGAAGUAGCGUAAGUAUUUCUCUCAGUUUUGAGAACCAAGGUAUCAAUCCAGUAGGAGGCUCCUCCCAAGUCUCACCGCCUACACAAACAAACAAGAACCUCGCAACCAACGCAAUAAAGGGGUUGUCAAUCUCUUCACGGCCACUUGCGAAAGUGAGAUCUGAUAGAGAUAAUAUGAUAAGAUAAAUAUUUUUGGUAUUUUUAUGAUAUAGAUUGAAAAGUAAAGAUUGCAAAAUAAAGUAGUUUGUAAACUUAUAUGAUAGAGAAUAGACCCGGGGGCCAUAGGUUUCACUGGUGGCUUCUCUCAAGAUAGCAUAAUUAUUACGAUGGGUGAACAAAUUACUGUCGAGCAAUUGAUAGAAAAGUGCAUAGUUAUGAGAAUAUCUAGGCAUGAUCAUGUAUAUAGGCAUCACAUCCGCAACAAGUAGACCGACUCCUGCCUGCAUCUACUACUAUUACUCCACACAGCAACCGACUCCUGCCUGCAUCUAGAGUAUUAAGUUCAUGAAGAACAGAGUAAUGCAUUAAGCAAGAUGACAUGAUAUAGAGGGAUAAACUCAAGCAAUAUGAUAUAAACCCCAUAUUUUUAUCCUCAAUACAAUACGUGCCUUGCUGCCCGUGCUGUCACUGGGAAAGUACACCGCAAGAUUGAACCCAAAGCUAAGCACUUCUCCCAUUGCAAGAAAGUUCAAUCUAGUAGGCCAAACCAAACUGAUAAUUCGAAGAGACUUGCAAAGAUAACCAAUCAUACAUAAAAGAAUUCAGAGGAGAUUCAAAUAUUUCUCAUAGAUAAACUUGAUCAUAAACCCACAAUUCAUCGGAUCUCGACAAACACAGCGCAAAAAGAGUUACAUCGAAUAGAUCUCUAAGAAGAGGAAGGAGAACUUUGUAUUGAGAAUCAAAGAGAGAGAAGAAGUCAUCUAGCUAAUAACUAUGGACCCGAAGUUCUAUGGUAAACUACUCACAACUCAUAGGAGAGGCUUUGGUGAUGAUGGAGAGGCCCUCCAUGGUCGAUUCCCCCUCCGACGGAGCACCAACGAAGGCUCCAAGAUGGGAUCUCGCGGAUACAGAAGGUUGCGAUGGUGGAAAUAGUUUUUCGUGGUGCUCCUGGAUGGUUUCGCGGUACGAAGAUAUAUAUAGGCAAAGGAGGUAGGUCGGUUGAGCCACGAGGGGCCACGAGGGUGGGAGGCGCGCCCACCCCCUUAGGGCACGCUGGGCACCCUCGUGGCCGCCUCGUUUGUUGCUUGACGUCCACUCCAAGUCCCCUGGAUUGUGUUUGUUCCAAAAAGAUCGCUCCCGAAGGUUUCAUUCCAUUUGGACUCCGUUUGGUAUUCCUUUUCUGCGAAACACUGAAAUAGGCAAAAAAACAGCAAUUCGGGCUGGGCCUCCGGUUAGUAGGUUAGUCCCAAAAAUGAUAUAAAAGUAUAAAGUAAAGCCCAUAAACAUCCAAAACAGGUAAUAUAAUAGCAUGGAACAAUCAAAAAUUAUAGACACGUUGGAGACGUAUCAGCGUCCGAACGUGGUGGCGGACGUGCAACCCCUCUGUUGGCGCGACGAACAUUGGGACACACCAUGGGUGUCGUCCGACGAAAAUAUGGCACGGCGUGCCCAUCGUGUGAGGCAGCGGGCGCGGGAGGCAGUGGCAGCCCUCGCGGCGGUGGACGUCGUCGAAGCGGUGUUGCAUUCUCCGGUGCCCCGUAUGGUGCAGCAGUCUGGGCACCGCAAAUGCGUCAUGGUGGACGUUGUUGGCUCGUCCCAGGACGGAUCCAUCAUCGAUCUAACGUCCACCGGCACCGUUCGAGUUCUGGGCUCCGACGAGGAAGAUUAGGGCAUGGGAGACAAGGCGACUUGAGUAUCGUGAGUUGGCUUGUGUCUCAUGCCCUACUCUACCUUGUCAGCGAUCGGACCAACACUCUGAGGGAUGCAGUCGGCCGCCGGACAUGGGCACGGGGAGCCGUGCGAGCUCCGCUCAAAGAUCGCAUGUAAUAAUAUGGAUUUGAUGUUUCUAAUUUGAGGUGUUCGGAUGUGGAAUGCAUUAUUUGAGGCGUGAUCGAUCACUGCCCAUGAUCGCGUCCGUACGCGCCGGCGGGCGUUUGAGGGGUCGGAUCUGUCUAGUCCGGUUGUAGAUGUUCUUAUAGAAUAUGGCUAUAUCCUCAUGCAACUUUGUGUGCUAAACGAGAGCUAGAAACUCAUUCUCAAGGUUAGCCGGCACAACAAUAAAGUCAAGAGCUGGCUGAUCAGAUCAUGCAGCUGCAAGGUUGGAUGAUGCGGGUUGAGAGCUUUCUGGAGAGGGUGGAGACUGAUGUGGACAAGCUCUCCUUAGGGCCAGCUAUAUUGUUAACCACUCUGAUGUCAUGCCCUCCUGGUGUGGCCGGUAUUGCUGCCACGGAGGAAGGAGGCCAAGAGCUAUAUGGAUGUUUCUCUCGUCAUGUUGGGGACAAUGCAUUGUCACUAUCGACCUCAUCUCCUGUGAUGCCUACCAGUGAGGGGGGCCCAUCGCCGUCCUCGAGUCUCCGGUUCUACAGAUCAUGCCCGACCUACAGGAGCUAUGUCUGAGCCCUGUUUUGCCUUUGUCUUUGGAGCACUUGGAGGUGGACUCAUUAGUGACCUCGUGUGCGGGGCAUGUUUCGCCUCUAUCAUGUGAGAAAGUGGAGGUGCCCGAGGCAAUUGUGUCAGUGGUUCCUGUAGGCGAUGUCGUCUCAGUAGUUUCUGUGGCUAAUGAUGUUGAGGCGGUCGGUAUGUUGGCGGCUGACCCUUUGGAGUCCAGCCAGUCGCUCGCCUUUGUGGACUGCGGAGGUUCCAAUGUUCCGGUCACUAACUCACGCGUGACCGUUGGGCACGUGAUGUCUUUGCGUGACAAGGUCGAUAAGAUUCUCUUCGAUUUAGAGAUUCACAGCUUGCUCAAAUGCUUAGAGGCGGCUAACCCUGGAUCUGGCAAGGCGAUUUUGGAGGAGGCUCUCAGAAACCAAAGAAAGAAGAGUGGCGCCACAGGAAAGGCGUCUGCAGCUUCUUGAUGGAUGGCCAUUAGUCUUUUGAUUAUGGUGUGGCCUGUCUUCAUGGACUUGGUGGUGCUCGUGGUCUUCAGCUGAGAUACUCUCGUUGGACGAGGAGGACUGCUCCUCCGACGAGGAGGACUGCUCCUCCGUUGUAAGCUCGUCCAUUUUGGUAGCCGCCACGAGCCCGCAGAUCCCCCACCCCCCUCUAGUAGUAGUAGUAGUAGAAUAUAGUAUGUGAUGAACUAUGAAUGAUCAGCGUGGUCGCAAUUGCUCCCGCGAAAGUUUUUUUUAAAUUAUACAGUUUCAUAUACGGGGUAUAUUCUACAGCGCAUGAUUUCGCCCUGCAAAACAGAUAUUCCUCGAACUGUAAACGCGUUAUGCGGGUCGGCAUUAUACGUGGUCUGCUAGAGAUGUUAUAAAGGUCAGCCGCCACAAUAGUAAAGUCAAGAAACUUCAAGGAUCAGUUUCGGCUUCAUAGAAGUCAAGGAAGCUUGUUAAUAGAAUAAUCAAGGAACCUUGAGCCAUUUUCUCUUCUGAAGUUUCACCAUAAGCAACCUGAGAAUUGAGCGUAGCUCAGUUGGCAAGGCAUGAGAGUUCGCAGCCAGCCCACUAGGGUUCAAGUCUCGAAAAAUGUCAACAGGCUAAUCUAGUCUGGGUUGGUCUUUUUUUUACAUAUUUGGCAACCCAAAAAAAACUUGAUUAAUUUUUUUUGAAAUUUCUAAAGUUUUUGGUAUUUUUGUGACCUUUUAUUCCUUUUUUCUAGAAUUUUGUUGACUUCCUAGUAUCUUCCUUUAAGCGGACAUUGGCAUGCGGAAUUUUAUCUAUUGAUCAAUUUCAGUGUCAUUUUUAAAUGAAUUAAUUUGUUGCGACAGUUAAGUGAAUUACUUUACAUGAACUUGAAAAAAGAGUGUCCUGGCUGGUGAGUCUACGUGUUUAACUUCUGAUUAGGCAAUCUUACCCUACCGUAUGAACCCAAUCUAAUUUGGAUUGUUGAGAUUGAUACGGUAAAUCUGAUUUGGAUUGUUGAGAUUGAUACGGUAAUGUAUCAUGCAUUGUAUAGGUGAUUAGGCAAUCUCUCCCUACCGUAUCAACCCGAUCUUUAUUUGGAUUGUAAAGAUUGAUAUGGUAAUGUAUCAUACCUUGUAUACGUGAUUAGGCAAUCUAAUCCUACCUAUUUCACGUCCUUGAACUUUGAUAGUAUAAAUCAAUCACGAGCUGAUCGCCCGAGUGUGGCGUUUCCCUCAAACCAUCUUCCACUAGUCUAUACAAUAUAAAGACAAAGAAUCAAUAUGACAAAGAGCCGCUUCGCCUACGUGAUGGCCAUCUUGUUCAUCGGCUGGGUUGCAGGGAGUGCAGAGUGUGAGUAUACAACAUCAUCACCUUCAUAUUUUGAACAAAGGCGAAUCGUUUACCUUUUCUUUUCAAUCAGUGGACCCCCAACCAAAACUUUCCCUUUCAAUUCAAACAGCAAACUGAUGCAGAUAUAUAUACUCAAAUAUGCAUGCAAUAGGUCGUCUCGAGGCUGGAAGAAAGACCGGUCUGGAUUAUCAUACCAAGACAAGUACUGCUGGUGAUAUCAAUGAAAGCAAGCUUAAUGUGAAGUUUUGUCUCCGAAAGAAAUGUGGUUCACCUGAUUCACCAUUUGGAGUAGACUGCUACUGCUGCCUCAACAAGCCCGACGCCCCGUGUUUCGCCACAAGUGACGACUGCCAGA